rnacentral:tRNA from 1 species
UCCUGGUGGUUAAGAUGGUAAAGAAUCUGCCUGCAAUGCAGUAGACCCGGGUUUGAUCCCUGGGUCAGGAA